rnacentral:lncRNA from 1 species
AAGAUAAGUGAUCAAUCUUGGUGAAGCCUUAGAGUCUUCUAGAGCAGCCUCCUUCUCUUGAAUUUCCAUGACUAGUCCAUAUAAAGCUUCUUUCAUUUGUUUUGCCCUUGCUCUGGUCAUUGGACCUCCAAUUCCUUAUAAUGGCUCUUUGGAAUUAGCUUGAACCAUUUGGCCAGCCCCUUGAUCUCUAUCAUUCCCUCCCUCCUCGAAAGGAUUCGUCCUCAAAUCACCUACAUCAAAUAAGGAUAAAUCAGCAACAUUAAAAGUAGCACUAAUAUUACUAUAGUUGCUUGGCAAAUCCAGCUUGUAGGCGUUGUUAUUGAUCCUCUCUAAGACUUAAAAAGGUCCAUCUCCUCUAGGCUGUAGUUUGGAUUUUCGUUGU